AUAUAGCUGACGAGUCCCAAAUAAGAUAAAACGCAUGUCCUGGAU
rnacentral:hammerhead_ribozyme from 1 species